GAUGAAGAACGUAGCGAAACGCGAUAAGUAAUGUGAAUUGCAGAAUUUAGUGAAUCAUCGAACUUUUGAACGCACAUUGCGCCCGGUAGUAUUCUGCCGGGCAUGCCUGUUCGAGCGUCAUUUCAACCAUCAAGCCCCAGCGCUUGUGUUGGGGGCCUGCGGCUGCCGCAGCCCCCUAAAAGCAGUGGCGGGCUCGCUAUCACACCGAGUGCAGUAGUUCAUCUUCUCUCCGGUCUUGUGAGGCGGGUUCCGGCCGUGAAACACCCCACUACAUUCAAGGUUGACCUCGGAUCAGGUAGGAAUACCCGCUGAACUUAAGCAUAUCAAUAAGCGAGGA
rnacentral:misc_RNA from 1 species